rnacentral:misc_RNA from 1 species
CUGCAGCCCCCUUGUGACGACCUCUGUCGGUAGGGAAAGAGGGUGUGUUAGGUUAAACGGAGAGACGACGAUUGUCAUCGCGUCGUUCUUCGUGCCGAUUUUAACGAGCCGACGACUUAGAGGAGGAUACUUGCACCUCUCUGCGGGUGCUUCUUCGCGUGUAUUUGCCAGUGAUGCUUCCGCGUUCUUUCAAUCACCUUGACGCCCUUAUUUUCUACAACGUUAAUAUCCAAGAACAAGAAAAGAAACGGAAACAGUGCACGAUGAUAUUUUGGAUCAGUUUUCCUUGCUCUUCCUAUGUGUGGAAUAGACACUGACGAUAUGGAUGCAGUAUGGCUUCAGUACUUUGGCAUGUCUCUGGGAAUAGUUAUGCUUCUCCUGCCUUUUUCUUGUUCUUACUGUUACUCUGUCCACACAAUACUACAGCCCGCGAGGUAAUUGAGGCUCCACUGCCACAACAAGACCACAUUCCAUCACUGCCACCACCACCGGGACGUCUCACCACUGCCAAAGCACCAAAGUGUGAUCAAAAAUUUAUAAGCACUCCUGAUGGGCCGCAAAAUGGAACUUUCUUUGCACCUGCAUUGAUAAAUCUAGAAGGAGAAUCUCGGCAAUGCGUUUACACAUUUUUAGCAGGACCACGUCAACGCGUGGAACUUAUUUUUACUACGUUUGGUCUUAGAGGCACACCGCCAGCUGGAUCUGCUGUUGGAGAAUUACCUGCUUGUAGCCAUGAAUAUAUGGAUAUAUAUUCGGAAAUUCGUUCAGAAAAUACUACCAAGCUAAUAGAAACACCAUUCGGAGGUCGUUUUUGUGGUCCUAUUCCACCUCGAAAGCGUGUUUCUCUUUAUCAAGGCAUUGCCCUCAGUUUCUAUACUGAUAAAAAUAUAACAUUACCAACAUUAUUCAGCGGGGAAUACACUUUUAUUAAUGCAUCUGAGUUUGAAGUUGGAACACCAGUACCGAGUGCACCGUGUUCUUUCACGGUAAAAUCUGUCGUUAAACGUACUGGAAAUAUAUUGUCUCCCACUUAUCCAGGAACUUAUCCAAAAGAUCUUACGUGCAGUUAUCAAUUUAUUGGAGAACCAAGUCAAAGAAUACGCCUGGAGUUUCGAGAUUUUGAUUUAUUUUUUGGCGGGCCACAUUGUCCUUUGGAUUAUGUAAAAGUAUACGAUGGGGUUGACAAUUCAUCCGCUGUUAUUGGAACGUAUUGUGGGCAACAACGAAAUUUGGUAUUAUAUUCAUCCGAAUCCAGCCUAUUUGUAUUGUUUUCUACUCUUCAGCGUACAGCGAAUACGCAAAAUCGUGGUUUUAAAGGAAUUUUCGAAUUUUCAGAAAGUUUUGUUAAAUUAGACUUCAUAACCAGUUAUAAUGGGGAGCAUAUAAGAGGCUCGGAAUGCGAUCAAAAGAUUUUAAGUAAAAAGAAGUCUUUUGGAUUUGUAGUUAGUCCCAAUUUUCCAUUUCCUUAUAUGCCAAAAGUAGUAUGUCGUUAUUUUGUUUAUGGAAUGCAAGAUUCGCAACAUCUUGAACGCGUUCGUUUGGAUUUUAUGGUAUUUGAAAUUCCAACGAGCGGUACUAAAGUAGAGUCAGCAUGUACCGAUGGUUAUUUAAAAUUAUAUUUAAAAGGUCAAGAAGCGACAGAUUCUUAUGAUAAAUUUGAUUAUGAAUUAUGCGGUGCAAAAAGUAAUCCAGCUUAUGUAGUUAGUGAUGGGCCGAGACUUGUUAUGGUAUUUAGCAGCGGAGAAUUACUAGGAAAAGGUUUUAAAGCACGGUAUAUCUUUGAGACAGAAUAUAAAAUACCUGGAACAGCCGAACCAGAUGGUACCUGUACAUUUACAUACAGAAGUUCCUCUCGAAAAAAGGGAGAUUUUAAUUCUCCCCGAUAUCCUAGUAAUUAUCCAAGUGAUACAAAUUGUACUUAUCUCUUUUUUUCAACGCCAAAUGAACAAGUGACAUUGAUCUUUGACCAUUUUAAAGUUAGAACCAAAACUCUGAAUGUAACGUCCGGUCACUAUGGGCACUAUUUAUGUCAAGAUGACUGGUUAGAAAUUUAUAUUAUGUAUCGCGAUCAAACUGAAAAAUUAAUAGGCAGGUAUUGUGGUAUGACUGCCCCAGGACCAGUAGAAUCGACGCUUGGUGCUCUCGGUUUAAAAGUAAUUUUACAUUCAGAUUCUGAACUUGUUUAUAGCGGAUUUAAAGCACGUUAUACUUUUGAGGUGGCAAAACCAAUUUUUGGAGAUUGCGGAUCAAAUAUUAGCAGUCUAAAUUAUGGAGUAAUAACUAGUCCUAACUUUCCAAAUAAAUACGAUGGCCCGUCAAAAAAUUUUGCUAGUAAAACAUGUAAUUGGUUCAUAAGAGUACGACCUAAUCAACAAAUAUUAUUGGAUUUUGAUAAAUUUUCUGUAGAAGGUGAUCAAAGUGCACGAGGUUGUCCUGCUGCGGUAUUACGUAUGUGGUAUUCUAGUUCGUCCACGCCGCUUGAGCUUUGUGGUGUUAAAACUUCUGAUACCAAGUGGACCUAUUUAUCGGAAGAUAAUAAUAUGCGUCUUAGUUUCAUAUCAGCAGAUAAAGCGGUUGGACAACACGGUUUCAGAGCAGUAUGGACAGAGAUAAAUAAAAAUACUGAUUGUCAAAAUCAAUUUCUUUGCACCAGAAAUAAAUAUUGUAUUGCAGAAUCGUUAAAAUGUAAUGAUAUCAAAAAUUGUGGUCCAGACGAUUCGUCCGAUGAAGAGAACUGUGCAGCAUCAGCCCCAUUGUCACCAGCACUGGCUGGAGUCUCUGCCAUGCUUCUUCUCUCUCUGUGCUUUAUGUUCGUGGCCAUCUGAGCCCCUCAUGAAGCUUCCGACGAUCCGGCAUGUUAUGAUCUCCCUUAUCACGUGCUGCUAUGGUACCAGCAGAUAGUUAUGUCAUCCCAGCAGUAUCUGCUGCAGCUUCUGUUUUAGUUGUUCUGUUUAUAUGCCUACUGUGUAAUAAACUUAAAAGACCUGUUCAAGAA